rnacentral:rRNA from 1 species
GACCAGACUCCUACGGGAGGCAGCAGUGGGGGAUAUUGCACAAUGGGGGGAACCCUGAUGCAGCGACACCGCGUGGGUGAAGGAGCGCUUCGGCGCGUAAAGCCCUAUCGGCAGGGAAGAAGGAGGACGGUACCUGACUAAGAAGCCCCGGCUAACUACGUGCCAGCAGCCGCGGUAAUACGUGGGGGGCAAGCGUUAUCCGGAUUUACUGGGUGUAAAGGGGGCGCAGACGGCAGCGCAAGCCAGGAGUGAAAGCCCGGGGCCCAACCCCGGGACUGCUCUUGGAACUGCGCGGCUGGAGUGCAGGAGGGGCAGGCGGAAUUCCUGGUGUAGCGGUGAAAUGCGUAGAUAUCAGGAGGAACACCGGUGGCGAAGGCGGCCUGCUGGACUGCGACUGACGUUGAGGCCCGAAAGCGUGGGGAGCAAACAGGAUUAGAUACCCCGGUAGA